AGAAUCAACGCUGGCGGCGCGCCUAACACAUGCAAGUCGAACGAGAAAGCAGGAGCAAUCCUGUGAGUAAAGUGGCGUACGGGUGAGUAACACGUGGAUCAUCUACCCUCUUGUGGGGGAUAACUCUGGGAAACCGGAGCUAAUACCGCAUAAGUCCGAGAGGAGAAAGCAGCAAUGCGCAGGAGGAGGAGUCCGCGGCCGAUUAGUUAGUUGGCAGGGUAAAAGCCUACCAAGACAAAGAUCGGUAGCCGGCCUGAGAGGGCACACGGCCACACUGGCACUGAAACACGGGCCAGACUCCUACGGAGGCAGCAGUGGGGAAUCUUGCACAAUGGGGGCAACCCUGAUGCAGCGACGCCGCGUGAGCGAUGAAGCCCUUCGGGGUGUAAAGCUCUUUCGGCAGGGAAGAUUAUGACGGUACCUGCAGAAGCAGCUGCGGCUAACUACGUGCCAGCAGCCGC
rnacentral:rRNA from 1 species